rnacentral:rRNA from 1 species
AGCAGCCGCGGUAAUUCCAGCUCCAAUAGCGUAUAUUAAAGUUGUUGCAGUUAAAAAGCUCGUAGUUGAAUUUCGGGGUCAAUACGUCGGUCGUGCUUUCGGGUACGUACUGGCGUCAUUGGUUUCUCCUUUCUGACGAACCAUGAUGUCAUUAAUUUGGUGUUAUGGGGAGUUAGGACUGUUACUUUGAAAAAAUUAGAGUGUUUAAAGCAGGCAUUAGCUUGAAUACAUUAGCAUGGAAUAAUGAAAUAGGACGUUCGAUCCUAUUUUGUUGGUUUCUAGGAUCAACGUAAUGAUUAAUAGGGAUAGUUGGGGGCAUUAGUAUUCAAUUGUCAGAGGUGAAAUUCUUGGAUUUAUUGAAGACUAACUACUGCGAAAGCAUUUGCCAAGGAUGUUUUCAUUAAUCAAGAACGAAAGUUAGGGGAUCGAAGACGAUCAGAUACCGUCGUAGUCUUAACCAUAAACUAUGCCGACUAGGGAUCAGAUGAUGUUAAUUUUUAAUGACUCAUUCGGCGCCUUA